rnacentral:rRNA from 1 species
CGUUGUUCGGAAUUACUGGGCGUAAAGCGCGCGUAGGCGGCUUUGUAAGUUAGAGGUGAAAGCCCGGAGCUCAACUCCGGAAUUGCCUUUAAGACUGCAUCGCUAGAAUCAUGGAGAGGUGAGUGGAAUUCCGAGUGUAGAGGUGAAAUUCGUAGAUAUUCGGAAGAACACCAGUGGCGAAGGCGACUCACUGGACAUGUAUUGACGCUGAGGUGCGAAAGCGUGGGGAGCAAACAGGAUUAGAUACCCUGGUAGUCCACGCCGUAAACGAUGAUGACUAGCUGUCGGGGCUCUUGGAGUUUCGGUGGCGCAAGCUAACGCGUUAAGUCAUCCGCCUGGGGAGUACGGCCGCAAGGUUAAAACUCAAAGAAAUUGACGGGGGCCUGCACAAGCGGUGGAGCAUGUGGUUUACUUCGAAGCAACGCGCAGAACCUUACCAGCGUUUGACAUGGUAGGACGGCUUCCAGAGAUGGAUUCCUUCCCUUACGGGACCUACACACAGGUGCUGCAUGGGCUGUCGUCAGCUCGUGUCGUGAGAUGUUGGGUUAAGUCCCGCAACGAGCGCAACCCUCGUCUCUAGUUGCUACCAUUUAGUUGAGCACUCUAGAGAAACUGCCGGUGAUAAGCCGGAGGAAGGUGGGGAUGACGUCAAGUCCUCAUGGCCCUUACACGCUGGGCUACACACGUGCUACAAUGGCGGUGACAGUGGGCAGCAAACUCGCGAGAGUGAGCAAAUCCCCAAAAACCGUCCCAGUUCGGAUUGUUCUCUGCAACUCGAGAGCAUGAAGGCGGAAUCGCUAGUAAUCGC